GACGAACGCUGGCGGCGUGCUUAACACAUGCAAGUCGAACGGAAAGGCCCUUCGGGGUGCUCGAGUGGCGAACGGGUGAGUAACACGUGGGUGAUCUGCCCUGCACUUUGGGAUAAGCCUGGGAAACUGGGUCUAAUACCGAAUAUGAUCAUCAGCUUCAUGGUGUGUGGUGGAAAGCUUUUGCGGUGUGGGAUGGGCCCGCGGCCUAUCAGCUUGUUGGUGGGGUAAUGGCCUACCAAGGCGACGACGGGUAGCCGGCCUGAGAGGGUGACCGGCCACACUGGGACUGAGAUACGGCCCAGACUCCUACGGCAGGCAGCAGUGGGGAAUAUUGCACAAUGGGCGCAAGCCUGAUGCAGCGACGCCGCGUGAGGGAUGACGGCCUUCGGGUUGUAAACCUCUUUCGCCAGGGACGAAGCGCAAGUGACGGUACCUGGAGAAGAAGGACCGGCCAACUACGUGCCAGCAGCCGCGGUAAUAC
rnacentral:rRNA from 1 species